GUAGGGCUACGAAUUAUCGUACGAUGCUUGCAAAUAACGAUGUAGAGAAAGAUUCGUGCUGCGCAAUUCGAAAGACUCCUGCUGCGUAUUUCGAAAGGAAGUGCUUCGAAGAAGACGAAUGUUUUUGCUGAUGUAUACAUUUCUUUGUCUAGUAACGUGUAAUCGCUAACUGCGUAGCUGCUUGCGCCAUCGGCUCAUGUGUUCCCCCUUCCACGCCCCUUUGGAAGUUGCUCGUGAAACGAAGGUACAAGGAGUCAUUUAGUCGUCUCAUUUCGUACCGAUAACAUGAAUCGCGCUGCGUCAGGUUUGUAACGUAUUCUAGCCUAUUGGUGGCGUCGGUUUUUUAUUACUUUCAUUAGUAUAUCUUUCGCAAUAUUCAUUACUAUAUUUUUUACUAUCGUUUAACUUCGUAACUUAUAUUCUUUUUAUAGACGUGCCGCGCAAGUAAACUCAUGUACUUCAAAGCAAGAUUUCGCAUGCGUUUCUGUAGUAUUAUUUAAGUAUAUUUAGCUGUGUACUUUUGAAUUCUUGCAAAUAUUUUCAACUAUUUAUAGCACGCGACUAUAGUGUAUUAGUGGAGUGUAUAUUUCAUAUUCUAGUAAGGAACAUUCAGUAUAAUUCUUGCAAAUGAUCGUAUUGCAUUCACGGUAUUCGUAAACAUUUGUUCGAUAUCGAGAAAUAUCUUAUAAUUUUAAACUAAUAUUUUUCAUACGUAAAAGAAAAGUAGCAGUAUUUUCUAAAUCGAUAGAGAAAAGGAGAAAAACAUAGAAACAAUAUUUCGCUUCUUUUCUACUCCCUAUCCUAUCCCACCCCACCCAUAAACAGCUUUAUUAAUAGGGAAUAUUUGUGACUGCGUGCAACGCGGUUUGUAGAGUCAGUGUUUGUUCCGCAAAAGUAUUUUUCAAUAUUUUCAAAUCACGGUCGUUUUGAAUAAAUCCAAUUAAAUAAUCAUACGCGAAGGUAUAAAAUUUUAUCAGACAAUUUUUUAUACAACAUUGGGGUUCUUGUUCGCCGAUUAUAAUUUUAGCGGUCGCGGUAGUGUGGUCUUAUUUUAUAUUCUUUCGAACAUUCUUUUUCGGUACUAGAGUCAGUGCAUCUCUCAAGAGGACAGAGCCUCUGCGGGAGCUCAAGAAUGUGCGUGCCAUGAUGCAUCGAUGUCCUGACUUUUUAUGUAAGUGAAUAAGAUUUUAUUAUUGUAAUUAUUCUUGCAAAAUCAACGAAAUGCGUCAUGGAUAUUCAUUUGUUAUAAUUAAUUUAACUUCUCGUGUUACUUUCAUUUUCUGUAUUGAUGUGCCCGUGAGCGCUUGAGAUAAGUUAUCUCCGCUUCGGGUGUCGCUACAAAACUGUUUGUUAUUUGGAUUCUUGAAUUUAUUAUUUUAAUUCAGACUCGUGCCAUUUGACUUGUAUAAUAUACAUGAAAUGGUGUUUGGUGUAAGGUGCCCAAGAAAUAUUCGGCGGUGUUCAACAAUAUAGUUUAUUUAACAAUCAAUAAUCCACGAUUACCUUCUCGGUUCUCGACUAUGCUUGUAUCACAUAAUAUCCCUGAGAAGAAAAUAAAAAAAUGAUGAGAUGAGGAGGAUCUCCAACUCUUGUAUCUUCUUUUGCAAUAUUUAUUGAUCAAGUACAAGAAUACAAUAGAUUUAUAAUAUGUAACGUUAGCGUAUAAUUCCGAAGUAUAACCGAGGGUCAACAAGAUUUGUCAAGACUGCGAUUUCUGGGUAGAUGCUCGGCUUUUAUAUCCUAAAAGUAUAGGCGCUGAGGGGCGAUGUUGGAAGUUGUGGGUGUCGUGUGCAAAAGCUGAUAAUGGCUAUCUGGGUGACGUCAUUUGAGAUGUGAUGGUCGUCACAUUCCCCCCUUCUUAGAAUUAUUUUGGUCCUCCUAAUUCUUAACGUUUCUUCAU